UACAGAGGUCUCGAGCGUUGUUCGGAUUCAUUGGGCGUAAAGGGCGCGUAGGCGGCGGGGUAAGUCUGGUGUGAAAUCUAGGAGCUCAACUCCUAAACUGCACUGGAUACUGCUCUGCUAGAGGACUGGAGAGGAGACUGGAAUUCACGGUGUAGCAGUGAAAUGCGUAGAUAUCGUGAGGAAGACCAGUGGCGAAGGCGGGUCUCUGGGACGGUACUGACGCUGGAGACGCGAAAGCGUGGGGAGCGAACGAGGAUUGAUAA
rnacentral:rRNA from 1 species